rnacentral:rRNA from 1 species
CUCGUAGGCGGCUCCGUAAGUCAGGGGUGAAAUCCAAUGGCUCAACCAUUGACACGCCUCUGAAACUACGGACCUUGAGUCCGGGAGAGGAAAGCGGAAUUCCAGGAGUAGCGGUGAAAUGCGUAGAUAUCUGGAAGAACACCAGUGGCGAAGGCGGCUUUCUGGCCCGGUACUGACGCUGAGGAGCGAAAGCUAGGGGAGCGAAC